CGCGCACAGCGACAUCGUAGCAGACGGCUCUUGUGAUCGUCGAAUAUCUCCAGGCCGAGCUCGGAGAUUUUUCUCGGAUUUCGAGUUCUUAGCCACAUUGAAAUCGGUUUAGACCGCACUCACAGACAUGAACGUGGCCUCACAACCCCCUCUUCGGGUGUCUCCAUUCAUCCGGGGCUGCCGGUGGAUCGCCCUCACCUCUGGGAUCGCCUACGGUGUUUUCAACUUCCGCCGUCUUUCGAAGAAGGCAGCUCGAGACAGGGAAAUCGAUCGCCAGAGGGAAGAGGCUCUCAGACCCAAGAGGCUUGCAGCGAAGCUGCAAGAAGAGAAGGAAACCCACAUCAUGCUUAACAAGGAGUUCGGCAUCGAAAUCCCCCCGGAGUUCAAGUAGGAUACCGAGUCCUGUAGAGAGCGUUAUUUGAGGAAAUAAAAUGAGAAACUUAUAGCCUGAAUGUUGACGACA
rnacentral:lncRNA from 1 species